rnacentral:rRNA from 1 species
UACAGAGGUCCCAAGCGUUGUUCGGAUUCAUUGGGCGUAAAGGGUGCGCAGGCGGCGCGGUAAGUCGGGUGUGAAAUCUCGGAGCUUAACUCCGAAACUGCAUUCGAUACUGCCGUGCUUGAGGACUGGAGAGGAGACUGGAAUUUACGGUGUAGCGGUGAAAUGCGUAGAUAUCGUAAGGAAGACCAGUGGCGAAGGCGGGUCUCUGGACAGUGCCUGACGCUGAGGCACGAAGGCCAGGGGAGCAAACGGG